UACAGAGGGGGCAAGCGUUGUUCGGAAUUACUGGGCGUAAAGGGCGCGUAGGCGGCCGACUAAGUCAGACGUGAAAUCCCCAGGCUCAACCUGGGAACUGCGUCUGAUACUGGAUGGCUCGAGUUCGGGAGAGGGAAGUGGAAUUCCAGGUGUAGCGGUGAAAUGCGUAGAUAUCUGGAGGAACACCGGUGGCGAAGGCGGCUUCCUGGACCGACACUGACGCUGAGGCGCGAAAGCCAGGGGAGCAAACGGG
rnacentral:rRNA from 1 species